rnacentral:miRNA from 2 species
AAGUGGAGUAGUGGUCUCAUCG